rnacentral:rRNA from 1 species
CCUACGGGUGGCUGCAGUGAGGAAUAUUGGUCAAUGGGCGCGAGCCUGAACCAGCCAAGUCGCGUGAGGGAAGACGGUCCUAUGGAUUGUAAACCUCUUUUGUCGGGGAGCAGAGGUCCGGACGUGUCCGGGCCGGGAGAGUACCCGGAGAAAAAGCAUCGGCUAACUCCGUGCCAGCAGCCGCGGUAAUACGGAGGAUGCGAGCGUUAUCCGGAUUUAUUGGGUUUAAAGGGUGCGUAGGCGGGCAUUUAAGCCGGCGGUCAAAUGUCGGGGCUCAACCCCGGCCUGCCGUCGGAACUGGGUGCCUUGAGUGGGCGAGAAGUAUGCGGAAUGCGUGGUGUAGCGGUGAAAUGCAUAGAUAGCACGCAGAACCCCGAUUGCGAAGGCAGCAUACCGGCGCCCUACUGACGCUGAGGCACGAAAGUGCGGGUAUCGAACAGGAUUAGAUACCAUGGUAGUC